GGGGAUUUAGCUCAGUGGCAUAAGCGCCUGCCUGGGAAGCAGGAGGUCGUGAGUUUGAUCCCCA
rnacentral:tRNA from 1 species